rnacentral:lncRNA from 1 species
AAGAAACUAAAAUUUAUUAUUCCAAUGUAAUGUUUACUUUUUCUCUUGUAUAGGAUGGAAACAACCCAAUCCUCUGAAGGAAAGUACAAUUUCCUCUGCUGCCUCUGUAAGUGCCUGGGAAAUGGCACUGACUUCAGAAAUCCUGGAGAACCACUCCCACUACUACCCAGAAUGGGUCUGGCUGGUUCUGAUUUCAUUUGGCUCAAUGCAAGGCACCCGUCCCUGUCUAAAACUUUGAGUUGGCUGUUAACUUCGAUCUCUCUCCUUGACUCUGCUCUGACCCUUUCCUUGGCCCAAUAUUUUACUUAGUAUACUUCUACAAUAUCUACUGGCCUGGGUCACCAGGAAAAUUCAUCUGGCCCCUGUUCACAGCUACUCCCCUGAGCUCAAGUGAAGAACUCAUCUUGGUCUUACAACACCCACAUGCCUCGGAACCCCUCAGUCCCAAGUAAACAGGAAUAGUUAGGGGUCUCCCUGCUCCCAGCCCACAUUGGUCAUACAGCAAAUUGAUGGCAGAAGCAGGACCCUAGGUAUUUUAUUACUUUAUAUGUUAUUAUUUAACUUACUCAUAUUAAUGUACUCAUAUAGAAUUAUGUGAUAUAUUAAUAUAAUAAUUAUGUAUUAUGUGUUAUAUGACUG